GGCUCCUUGGUGAUUCAUAAUAACUCAACGAAUCGCAUGGCCUUGCGCCGGCGAUGGUUCAUUCAAAUUUCUGCCCUAUCAACUUUCGAUGGUAGGAUAGUGGCCUACCAUGGUAUCAACGGGUAACGGGGAAUUAGGGUUCGAUUCCGGAGAGGGAGCCUGAGAAACGGCUACCACAUCCAAGGAAGGCAGCAGGCGCGCAAAUUACCCAAUCCCGACACGGGGAGGUAGUGACAAUAAAUACUGAUACAGGGCUCUUUUGGGUCUUGUAAUUGGAAUGAGUACAAUUUAAAUCCCUUAUCGAGGAACAAUUGGAGGGCAAGUCUGGUGCCAGCAGCCGCGGUAAUUUCAGCUCCAAUAGCGUAUAUUAAAGUUGUUGCAGUUAAAAAGCUCGUAGUUGAACCUUGGGCCUGGCUGGCCGGUCCGCCUCACCGCGUGUACUGGUCCGGCCGGGCCUUUCCUUCUGGGGAUCCGCAUGCCCUUCACUGGGUGUGCCGGGGAACCAGGACUUUUACUUUGAAAAAAUUAGAGUGUUCAAAGCAGGCCCUUGCUCGAAUACAUUAGCAUGGAAUAAUAGAAUAGGACGUGCGGUUCUAUUUUGUUGGUUUCUAGGACCGCCGUAAUGAUUAAUAGGGACAGUCGGGGGCAUCAGUAUUCAAUUGUCAGAGGUGAAAUUCUUGGAUUUAUUGAAGACUAACUACUGCGAAAGCAUUUGCCAAGGAUGUUUUCAUUAAUCAGUGAACGAAAGUUAGGGGAUCGAAGACGAUCAGAUACCGUCGUAGUCUUAACCAUAAACUAUGCCGACUAGGGAUCGGGCGAUGUUAUUAUCUUGACUCGCUCGGCACCUUACGAGAAAUCAAAGUCUUUGGGUUCUGGGG
rnacentral:rRNA from 1 species